UGGGGAAUUUUGGACAAUGGGCGAAAGCCUGAUCCAGCAAUGCCGCGUGUGUGAAGAAGGCCUUCGGGUUGUAAAGCACUUUUGUCCGGAAAGAAAUCCUCUGGGUUAAUACCUCGGGGGGAUGACGGUACCGGAAGAAUAAGCACCGGCUAACUACGUGCCAGCAGCCGCGGUAAUACGUAGGGUGCAAGCGUUAAUCGGAAUUACUGGGCGUAAAGCGUGCGCAGGCGGUUUUGUAAGACGGAUGUGAAAUCCCCGGGCUUAACCUGGGAACUGCAUUCGUGACUGCAAGGCUAGAGUAUGGCAGAGGGGGGUAGAAUUCCACGUGUAGCAGUGAAAUGCGUAGAGAUGUGGAGGAAUACCGAUGGCGAAGGCAGCCCCCUGGGCCAAUACUGACGCUCAUGCACGAAAGCGUGGGGAGCAAACAGGAUUNGAUACCCUGGUAGUCCACGCCCUAAACGAUGUCAACUAGUUGUUGGGGAUUCAUUUCCUUAGUAACGUAGCUAACGCGUGAAGUUGACCGCCUGGGGAGUACGGUCGCAAGAUUAAAACUCAAAGGAAUUGACGGGG
rnacentral:rRNA from 1 species